rnacentral:tRNA from 1 species
GAGAGAGGCUCGCCAGCAGCGAACACUGCUAAUAUUCGUCACCUCGGUUAAACCCCGGGGCUCACUC